CGUUUAAUCACCGGUUCCCGUACGAUCACCGAAGUUAAGCAAUGUCGAGCCUCGUCAGUAUAUAGAUGGGUGAUCGUUUGGGAAUACAGGUUGUCGUAA